UACGUAGGGUGCGAGCGUUAAUCGGAAUUACUGGGCGUAAAGUGUGCGCAGGCGGCCGCGCAAGUCGAGUGUGAAAGCCCCGAGCUUAACUUGGGAAUUGCGCUCGAAACUACGUGGCUGGAGUGUGGCAGAGGAAGGUGGAAUUCCAGGUGUAGCGGUGAAAUGCGUAGAGAUCUGGAGGAACACCGAUGGCGAAGGCAGCCUUCUGGGCCAACACUGACGCUCAUGCACGAAAGGCGUGGGGAGCAAACAGG
rnacentral:rRNA from 1 species